GUGGAUUAGAUACCCUGGUAGUCCUAGCCGUAAACAAUGGAUACUAGGUGUUGAACAGAUCGACCUGUGCAGUACCAAAGCUAACGCGUUAAGUAUCCCGCCUGGGAAGUAUGCACGCAAGUGUGAAACUCAAAGGAAUUGACGGGGGCCCGCACAAGCGGUGGAGCAUGUGGUUUAAUUCGAUGCAACGCGAAGAACCUUACCAGGGUUUGACAUGAUACGAAUUUCUUUGAAAGAAGAAAGUGCCUUUUGGAACGUAUACACAGGUGGUGCACGGCCGUCGACAACU
rnacentral:rRNA from 1 species